UCUUCUUCUUCUAGUCCGUAGAAAUAGCAAAGUCGGUAGCCUUUGCUCAUUAGCGCCACCUCUGUUCAGGAGAAGACCGUAACUAGUCUUCCACCACACGCGAGUAUAAACAGUUACGGCGAUCCCAUGACGUCACAUUUGCGCGCGGCAGGUUGGGAACGGCCAGUGUACUGAACGUUUUAGUCAUGGUCGGAGUUUGAAGAAAAAAAAAAUAAAACCCUCUGUGCAUGUUUGACUUCUGUUUGGGCGCACAGUUUUCAGUUUUUCUCUGCUUUGAAAGAAUCGGGAAGCAGUUGUCUAAACUCAACAACAGGCUCCUCUUCAUUUCAACGGAGAGGGGAACCUCUGAAUCAUGUUAUUGUGCUUAUUUUGAAGCAUUAUUAUGUAUGCAUAAGGAACAGACAGAUGAAGUGCACUUUACUGUAAGACUAUAUUGUUACACAGAGGUCACUUGGUUAUAGUGCGAGGAGCAGAAGUCAUGAGUCAUGGUUAAGGUGGUCACAUCACUUACAUUUCCAUAGACUCUAAAGCAAAUACCUGCCCCAUCACUCCCCUGCACAGACGUAUCACUAAAUACUCAGACGUGUAACCUGUAUUAGGAAAAGAUAAGGAAAGAGAGUGUAGAGAGAGCAUUUCAUGUUUAGUUCUGUUUACUGUGACAUAUCAUUUGAACAUGUUAUUUUUUUAAAAUUGUAUUUGUUUUGUCUGUUAGUUCCCUGAACUGGCUGUAUUAAGUUGUCUUUAAUGCCCAUUGUUGCAACCAAAAAAAAGCCACUCUUGAGUUGUUUAUCUGAUCAAAGGAAGUGCAGAGACAGCCGCAGCAUCAAGGCUGCAGAGAGCCGGGUUACAUUCAAAAUUCUCAUGAAAUACAUGACAAAACAAUCUCACUCAAAACAACCAGCUACAGUUCUAUGACAAAAAACCUGCAGCAGGUGGCUGCUGAUGAAAAGUAAAAACCUUCAGAACAAGUGGGUAAGUAGCCCUUAAGUUGAGAUUGUUUGGCCAGCAAAAUGUGGUGUGCUCUUUGGCUCCAGAAUUCUUUUGAACUAAUGCCGAUUUAGCAAGAAAUUUUGAGAAGAUUGAUACUACUGUCAUGUUUUGUUAAGGGUAAAUACGAGGCUACAGCCGGCUAACCUAGCUUAGCACAAAAACUGUAAACAAAGGGAAUGUCUAGCCUGGCUUCCAAAGGUAACUAAAUCAGCCUACCAGCACCUUUCAAGCUCAGUUUUCUUGUUUAACCUUUACAAGAAUCAAAGUUCACUUGUUGAGGGGGACUAUUUCUUGGGUGGGACUAGCUAGCUAGUUACCUCCGGGAGUCUCCGCUGGUUGCCUGGCAACUAGCCCCGACCAAGAAAUAAUGCUAGUCCGACCCAUAACUGUUAAAUUAGUUGUUUUUACACUUCUGUUUUUGUAACUUUAAACAAGCAACAUAUUAUGUGUUAGUGAGAGAUACUGGUAACGUUAGCUGGAUUUAGUUACUCCUAGACAGAGCCAGGCUAGCUGUUUCCAUUUUGUAUGCUAAGCUAACUGGCUGCUGAAGGUAACUACAAAAUUACCGCACAAACUAUGAAAGUGGUAUAAGGCUCAACAAGAACACCAAUAAGUGUGUUUCCCAAAAUGUCGAACAUUUCUUUAAAAUUUAAAUUGUAAACUUGGUUAGACACACUGUUAUCACUCCUAUGUAUCAGCGUAUAUGCAGUAUUGUCACUGUGUGUUUGUGUGCUCUGUUUGCUUCAUAGGUUGGUUAUUAUUCUCAUUUCAAUUCCUACGGUGCAUUUCAAUUCAACUCUUUAAGUCCACCAACCAAAAAUGUUAAACAGUACACUGUAUGUUUUAUGUUUGUGUUUCAGCCCGAUCAAGAGAAUCUAAGCUGCCUUGACUUAGUGCAACGAUGAAUUGUUUACUACAGGAUGUUAGCUUCCAGAGAUGUCUGUGUCUUCGGUUGCAUUUUUACCUAGUUUUAAAUGUUCUUAAAUAAUAAUAGUUGGCCACCAUAUGAGUUUUCAAGUGACCUUGUUUACCUUGCACAGUACAGUUGCUUCAGUGAAGCCCCAGUUUUAUUGAUAAAGAGAGAGCAAGAGUAAUCAGCGGAACCAAUGUUAUUUUUCUAUACUGUUUGAGAGGAAGUGUAUAUGUUGUCCGUUCAUCUCCAGUGCUCUGUUACACAAUUAAAAACUGCUGUCAAAUAAUGUUGUAUUUGACAGCCCCACCGGUCCCUGCUGCUGUGAUAACCAGCAGCAGUCCUGGUUGGUAAGUCAUCCUGAGCUAUGACUCUUAUUAUCUGAGUAGGCAACCUCAGCCUGUCACAGUUUGCCUCUAGGAAAGCCCAUAGGACAGGCAUCCUGACUGAUGACUCAAUAAAAAAAAAAAAAAACACUUGAA